rnacentral:rRNA from 1 species
CACGUAGGGCGCAAGCGUUGUCCGGAAUUAUUGGGCGUAAAGAGCUCGUAGGCGGUCUGUUACGUCUGCUGUGAAAACCCGAGGCUUAACCUCGUGGCUUGCGGUGGAUACGGGCAGACUAGAGGUAGGUAGGGGAGAACGGAAUUCCCGGUGUAGCGGUGAAAUGCGCAGAUAUCGGGAGGAACACCGGUGGCGAAGGCGGUUCUCUGGGCCUUACCUGACGCUGAGGAGCGAAAGCAUGGGGAGCGAACAGG